rnacentral:rRNA from 1 species
CCCUUAGAUGUUCUGGGCGGCCCGCGCACUACAUUGGCGCUAGCAAAGAGAUCCUAGAUUGAAUUCUUUGGGGUAUUCUUCUAAAUGGUGUCGUGACUGGGAUAAAUCCUUGUAAUUAUUGGUUUUGAACGAGGAAUUCCUUGUAAUCGCGGUUUAUCAGCUCGCGUUGAAUGCGUCCCUGCCCUUUGUACACACCGCCCGUCGCUCCUACCGAUGGAUCGUCCGGUGAAGCUCACGGAGUGACUGUUCACGCAACGGUUUACGAAGUGAAAUGGACCUCACGAUUUAGAGGAAGGAGAAGUCGUAACA